AGUUGGCAGGAUGGCAGCAGCAGACACACAGGGUGGUUAAGAACAACAAACACAGGUAACAUCUGCUGAAGGCUUCUACAAGCUGAGCACUAACAGGCAAACCACUUCAAUAGAACAUGGCUGGCGGCCAUAUGGACAUAUUUGAAUCCAACAAUUAAUUCAGCAAAGAAAGCUGCUUGUGGCAAGUUUUGAAUGUGCCAUUCCAGGUAGUGCUUUGAUGAUAAAUGAGGAGAAGAUUGCAAAGAAAAUGACAGCAACAUUUAUAAAAGGAGAAGAAAACUGAGGCAUAGAACAUUUGGGAAUGAAUCUAAGACUACACAUCUAGAAUAGCAGAGUUACAGGAAUGCAGAUGUGAUUCCUAUGGAUGAGGGUAACCUAGAGGCUAGAAGAACAAUAGGACAGAAGAAGCCUGGGUCCCUGAACAACCUUGUGGAGCAUAGACACCUACGUGGCCUGGACUGCCAGCUCACAAUGGGCCUCUCUGUGAGAGAAGGAAACUUCCCUCUUGUUUAAGCAACUGUGCUUUUGAGAAUCUCUUGGUCUAUACCCUAAUGAAUAAGGCCAUCAUAAAUGGAUAUCAAAGUAAGGAAAUUUGUGUAAAUGAUUUAAUAAAACAUUACCUCAGGUAUGAAAUAA
ensembl:lncRNA LINC02269 long intergenic non-protein coding RNA 2269